AGGCCCACUUGCAAAAUUCUUCAGCACAGUUACACAGCCACACAUCCUGCCAGCUAGAGUGACAUUUCUCACGUACGAAGCGUUUGUGGUCAGCCCUUUGCUUUCUUCUGGCAGUUGCCAAAGCAGGAAGUAUAUUGAACUCUAUGAAGUGCCCAUUUAAAGAAUGAGCCAAUUAAAACUAAUGAAAUCCUCACAGUUCCAGAGCCAUAGGUCAAAGACAGCAAAGUACGGUACUUGGAACAUUUCAACACUGGGCACUGAAAGGAAGUUCAG